UUCAAACACCAGUUCUUAUAUGAUCACUGCAGUUGAGCAGUGUUGAGCUUGGUCAGUACCUAGAUGGGUGACUGCUUGGGAAUACCAAGUUCUGU